CGGUGUCUCGGACCUAACAUGUGGCGAGGACGGGGGAACCAUCUCCGGUUCCUAACUGAAUCUCAGGUAGAACCUUGGGGUUAAGUGUGCAAACACCGGGCACUCCGCCCGCACCCGACAGCUCACCCCGUAGGCAUGGAGACAAUACGU
rnacentral:sRNA from 2 species